GACGAACGCUGGCGGCGUGCUUAACACAUGCAAGUCGAACGGUGAAGCGCUUGCCUUUUUGGUGGGUGUGGAUGAGUGGCGAACGGGUGAGUAACACGUGAGUAACCUGCCCUCUUCUUCUGGAUAACCUCAUGAAAGUGGGGCUAAUACGGGGUAUUCCGGGUCUGUCGCAUGGCGGGUUUGGGAAAGAUUGCGCCUUUGGGUGUUUUCGGUGGGGGAUGGGCUCGCGGCCUAUCAGCUUGUUGGUGGGGUGAUGGCCUACCAAGGCGGUGACGGGUAGCCGGCCUGAGAGGGUGGACGGCCACACUGGGACUGAGACACGGCCAAGACUCCUGCGGGAGGCAGCAGUGGGGAAUAUUGCAAAAUGGGCGCAAGCCUGAUGCAGCGACGCCGCGUGAGGGAUGGAGGCCUUCGGGUUGUGAACCUCUUUCGCCAGUGAAGCAGGCCUGCUCCUGUGUGGGUGGGUUGACGGUAGCUGGAUAAGAAGCGCCGGCUAACUACGUG
rnacentral:rRNA from 1 species